UUUGAUGACCCAUGCCUCAGAUUAUGGCU
rnacentral:piRNA from 1 species